AUUGAACGCUGGCGGCAGGCCUAACACAUGCAAGUCGGACGGUAGCACAGGGGAGCUUGCUCCCCGGGUGACGAGUGGCGGACGGGUGAGUAAUGUCUGGGAAACUGCCUGAUGGAGGGGGAUAACUACUGGAAACGGUAGCUAAUACCGCAUAACGUCGCAAGACCAAAGAGGGGGACCUUCGGGCCUCUUGCCAUCAGAUGUGCCCAGAUGGGAUUAGCUAGUAGGUGGGGUAACGGCUCACCUAGGCGACGAUCCCUAGCUGUUCUGAGAGGAUGACCAGCCAGACUGGAACUGAGACACAGGCCAGACUCCUACUGGAGGCAGAAGUGGGGAAUAUUGCACAAUGGGCGCAAGCCUGAGGCAGCCAUGCCGCGUGUAUGAAGAAGGCCGUCGGGUUGUAAAGUACUUUCAGCGGGGAGGAAGGUGUUGUGGUUAAUAGCCGCAGCAAUUGACGUUACCCGCAGAAGAAGCACCGGCUAACUCCGUGCCAGCAGCCGCAGUAA
rnacentral:rRNA from 1 species